rnacentral:rRNA from 1 species
AUACGGAGGAUGCGAGCGUUAUCCGGAUUUAUUGGGUUUAAAGGGAGCGUAGGUGGGAUAUUAAGUCAGCUGUGAAAGUUUGGGGCUCAACCUUAAAAUUGCAGUUGAUACUGGUUUCCUUGAGUACGGUAUAGGUGGGCGGAAUUCGUGGUGUAGCGGUGAAAUGCUUAGAUAUCACGAAGAACUCCGAUCGCGAAGGCAGCUCACCGGGCCGGAACUGACACUGAUGCUCGAAAGUGCGGGUAUCAAACAGGAUUAGAUACCCUGGUAGUCCUCACAGUAAACGAUGAAUACUCGCUGUUUGCGAUACACUGUAAGCGGCCAAGCGAAAGCGUUAAGUAUUCCACCUGGGGAGUACGCCGGCAACGGUGAAACUCAAAGGAAUUGACGGGG